rnacentral:lncRNA from 1 species
AUAUUUACUUAUUUGAGGAAAGAAAGGGUUUCAAAUACUAAGCUAUUUAAUCUGGAUGACAUUAGUAGGGACAAAAGUUCCUAUUUUUUUCGGGGGACGAAAGCUUUCAUUCGUUAGUAUGAAAUGCCGCCUGUACAAGGAGCAAUGUAGUGUAACAUAGCUGACAUCUGAUGUUUCUGCUACCACUAUAGUGUAUUUCAUCACUCUCCUUUCCCACGAAAUAGUUAGUUAAUACCUGGGCCACUGAAGAUGCUUUCUGCCCAACGGCUACACAUACAUAAUAUUUUGACCUUGUUGAUUGAGACUUGUAUCUGUGGCUACGAGCUAUAGCUACUACUGUUGAAUGAACUUUACGUUAGUGCCUUAUAUUGACGAGUUGUACAUACAACAACAACAACAACUACCCAGUUAUCCUACCAGGUGGGGUAUGGGGAGGGUAAUAUGUAGACGAGCCUACCCCCGCCCGUAAGGGCAGAGAGGCUGUUUCCAAACGACCCUCGGCGUGUAGGAUAAAAAG